rnacentral:tRNA from 1 species
UGCUGAUACUAGGACUCGAACCUAGAAGUAUACACAUUACAAGUGUGUCCCGUUACCAAUUACGGAAUAUCAGC